CAUACGUUUUAACCCAGCGGGUGCUGUAAACAGUACGUUGGCGGUUCACACCAGUUCAGAAGUAAGGUAUCUUAAAUUGCACUCGACAAUGUUGUGAAUACUUUAAAAUGCUUGAAGCCAUACUUGAUGCCUUCCAUAACGUGUAAAGUAAGAAGUUAGCCUGUGUUAAAAAGUGGUGAUCCCUGCAGAUUACCAAGGCAUCCAGUCUCCCAGCAAGUGCCAAGAGGCAUUCAUUCAAUGCUCCGCUGACACCAAUUUGCCCAAAGAUAGAAAUCAAAAACGUCACAAGACAGAAUAGUGAGCUGCAUGCACUUAUCACAGAGUAUAAAGUCACUCCCUCAGAGGAAAAAGACAAGGAUGGCAUGUCUUCAUGUGAGAACUCAGAAGCUAAAUGUACAGAUACCAAGGGGAAAUUGGCUGGGUCAAGUGGCUACACUGACAUCUGAGGUUAGCAGGUUGGGAGAGUGAGUGCAGCAGUCUUCAGGUUCAGCUAGACUGUGAGAGGGAUAAGUAUAACAAACUGCUGGGAGAAUCUCUUGCUCAUGAAAAGUUGUCUGAAGAUGUCAUAACUGAACCAAAAGGAGAAACAACAGGAUUGGGAGGAACUGAGCUUUAACAGAAGCUGCAACAACUGCAGGAGGCUCACAGGGUCCUGGAGAGCAGGUUAACUUGCAGCAUGAAGGAGGUGGCUGAGCUGAGUGACAGGAAGUAGCAGCUUGAGCAUGCUGUAGUGCAUGAGGAGACAGAGUCCAUCGGUGACUACAUCACCAUCUACCAGUUGCAGCGAGGAGUGAUGAAGCAACAAGCUCGAGAACGCGAGUUAGACCUUGCCAGCCUCCAUCAUGAAUGAGAGGAAAUGAAGCAAAACCACUCUGCAGGAUUUGAUAUCAAAGCUGGUGCAGGAAAAGGAAGCAGAUCAUGACCUUCAGCAGCUCGAGAAGAUAAGCAGCGUCCUUAUAUAUAUGUUAUAUAAAUAUGUUCCUUUCACUAUAAUAUAUUAUAUGUAUUAAAAACUGCAUGGAAUACUACUGUAUUCCAUGCACUUUGUAUUCCAUGUAUUCCAGCCACUCAGUCUCCUACUGAGUGGCUGGGGGUUUUCCAAAAGUGAGGGUUGGUGUUCUAUACCAUACCAUGUGCCCUGUUUGUAUUCCUUCUCUAUCCUCUGUAUUAUAUUCUAUGUAAAGAUGGUGCUGGGGUGGGAUCUACUUCUUAUUCCCUAAAAGUGAUGAGGAGUGACACUGGGCAGCAUUAAUUUGCUCCUUAGAGAUGGCUGGGUUCCUGUGGAUGAGUGGGCCAUGCUGUGCUUUGUCAAGGAUGGUGUUUGGUAUUGUGAUGACUCUUGCCACAAUCAAGUGUCUCCCACAGAGUAGUGGAGUACCUAUGUAUGGUGUUGACCCAAGCUGUCCAGGUCUCAUCCAAUGCCUUAAUAUGAUUUAGAUGAUCAAAAUGGUUUAACUCACCAUUUAAUCAGCUGACUGAUUUGAAUGGAGAAGUAUGUAAUGUGUUGUAGCCUAACCAUCCCUGCCAGCAUGGUCAGACUCUUGGUAGUAACCUGAAAUGCUCCUAGGUAGUGAGUAUCAUUGCACAUAAUGAUCUUUACUUUGUCAGUAAUUCAAUGAUACUGAAUAUUACUCUACUGGAUUUUGCUCAGCACUGCUUGGUAACUUUUUGGCCAUAAUCCCAGGUCUGGAAUGAUAUGAAGCCAUGUUUUUACAUUCCAUAUGAGACAGGCAAGCACUAUGCUUUGCCUGACUGAUACCUGUACUUUGCAUUUAUGACCCCAGGUAGUUCAUCACUCUCUCUCUCCUCUCUCUCUCUCUCUCUUCUCUCUCUCUCUCUCUCUCUCUCUCUCUCUCUCCUCUCUCUCUCUCUCUCUCUCUCUCUCUCUCUCUCUCUCUCUCUCUCUCUCUCUCUCUCUCUCCUCUCUCUCUCUCUCCUCUCUCUCUCUCUCUCUCUCUCUCUCUCUCUCUCUCUCUGUUUGGAAUUAUACUGUAUAUUAGGAAAUAUCAUUAAAGAGUGUGUGUGUAAAAAGUGUUUGCAUUAUUGUGCAUUUGAUGUUGGUUUCAUGAUUUAUAAAGAUUGCUAUUUUUAAUAAAGUUAUUGAAAUUGUUAUUGAGUGUUUGUAUUGAACUCAUUAGCUUUGUAAUAGUGUGCGUCUCAUCAUGCAUUCAUUAAUGAUGUAGAGUGGAAAUGUCCACUCCUAUCAUGCAUAAUAUCAAUGCAUUAUUGGUUUAUGUUGUUAUUUGUGUAUAAAUUGUAAAGUUAUGCCAGUCUAUUUUAGUACAAACUAAAUAUCAGCUGGAAGAGAGGACAGGUAAUGGCACACUAAAACACAGGAAGGGACAAUGAUAUAACCAUCCAAUUUAACAAUACACAGAGCAAGAAGAAUGAGAAAGCAAUAAAAAUGGAUUAUUUAA